rnacentral:rRNA from 1 species
CACGAAGUUAGCCGGGGCUUCUUCUGCGGGUACCGUCAUUAUCGUCCCCACUGAAAGAGCUUUACAACCCUAAGGCCGUCAUCACUCACGCGGCAUGGCUGGAUCAGGCUUGCGCCCAUUGUCCAAUAUUCCCCA